CUUAGUUAGGUGUAUUUGUUUCUCUCGCUGAUUCCUGGGAUUUGAAUGCUCUUGCCAUUUCAUGGUUAAAGAAUUGUUGUAUUGUUUGAGAGGAUGGCAAGUUGAUUAUGGAGAACAAAACACAGCAAGUUCAAAUGUGUCAUUUCGGGUGAGAAACUAGAAGAAAAAUAGGACUGCAAUGAGAUUCAACAAGUGAACUGCAAAAGAAAAUAUGAUUUGGAGGGCUUUGGUGUGCUGAUAUUUGAAAGAUCAUGAAUUCCUACCUUUACUUUUGAAUAUGCAACUGUUUAAGACUAUUUUGUUGACUAUUGUGAGAAUAUUUUGUUUAUGUUAAUUAGGCAGUGUUGAAUAUCUUAAGACUUUUGGAUUGUUUUUAAGAUAAUCUUGAAUGUAUUUUGACACAAUUAUUUGGUUAUAUGUGUUAUGAACCAUAUAAUUGGUACUCAAAAAUAUAUUUGUACAAUGUUAAGGGUGUCUUAAGUAUAUUAAAUGAAGCGGGUUUGAA